GACGAACGCUGGCGGCGUGCCUAAUACAUGCAAGUAGAACGCUGAAGGAGGAGCUUGCUCUUCUGGAUGAGUUGCGAACGGGUGAGUAACGCGUAGGUAACCUGCCUGGUAGCGGGGGAUAACUAUUGGAAACGAUAGCUAAUACCGCAUAACAGUAGAUGUUGCAUGACAUUUACUUAAAAGGUGCAAUUGCAUCACUACCAGAUGGACCUGCGUUGUAUUAGCUAGUUGGUGGGGUAACGGCUCACCAAGGCGACGAUACAUAGCCGACCUGAGAGGGUGAUCGGCCACACUGGGACUGAGACACGGCCUAGACUCCUACGGGAGGCAGCAGUAGGGAAUCUUCGGCAAUGGACGGAAGUCUGACCGAGCAACGCAGCGUGAGUGAAGAAGGUUUUCGGAUCGUAAAGCUCUGUUGUAAGAGAAGAACGAGUGUGAGAGUGGAAAGUUCACACUGUGACGGUAUCUUACCAGAAAGGGACGGCUAACUACGUG
rnacentral:rRNA from 1 species